rnacentral:lncRNA from 1 species
AACGAGGCCACUCCCGCUCGGCACCCUCGGUCCUUUAUUGUUGACUCGAAGCUCCCAAAAUGGCGGACGCUCCUUCCUCCUCGGAAACCUCCGCCCGCCCCCACCCAGCCCUCUCGCUACGGCCUCCUCUCGCCCCCGCCCCCGCCCCGCUCCGAGGGGCGCGCAGGCCAGCCGCCCGAGCCGCCGGCUCCCCCGGCUGUCCAGCCCUACCUCCUCCGCUGCCCGCUCUCGUGGCGCCGCCGAAGUCGCCGCCUGGCUGAGCUAACUCGGCUCCUCUGCCCCCUCCCUCGCUCGCCCGUUCGCCCGCCCGCCGCCUCCUCCCUCUUUCCCUGCCUCUCCGCAUGGCGGCGACCGCGGCUCCUCCUCCACUCAAGAUGGCGAAACCUCGGCCGCCGCGGCUAUAUUCGCCGCGGCGUCACUGCCUUCCUGGCCUGGUGGUGAGAGGAAGUCGGGCCGCGAAAGCUUCCUGAGGAGAAAAUGGAGGGCCCUUCUCUCACACCGACGAGAAAAGUUCGAGGGGGAAAUACGAGUUCCUUUCUGAAGGGACAGGACGGCUGCUUUUCCACAGCCGCGACGUGAUUGAGAAAUGGUGGCUGGCAAGGGUAGGCCUGCCUUCGCCCCUCCAAAGUAAAAAUCGGGAGUUGAGACCAGAGGAACAUCUCUUUAUUACAUGACUAAGGAUAUGUUUUGAAAACUGGCCCCCGGGCAGCUGCUCGGGGACAGGAAGCUGACCUGACUUCUCCAGCUGGCCGGGGAGGCUGAUGCCGGGCCUAAGGGGCCGCGUCCGAGCCUCUCGGGGCGCGCCUCCAUGCAGGAAGGCGCGGAACUAGCGACCCGGAGACGCCGGGCGCGCGUCUGAGUGUGGGGGCAGGAAGGGGGGCCGACCGGGCCCGGAGGCCGCACCAGGCAGGAGGGAGGACUCCAGAGAGUGCGCGGGGGGCGCUGCGCGGUGGGACGGGGCGAGCCUGUAGGGCGCGCCUGGCGGCGGCAUGGCGUCUCCAGCCCAGGUUUUAAAAUACCUUCUAAUGUAAGGAAAUAGCCCUGCACCUUGUGCCCAUCCUAGAGAGAAAAUGGUUUCUUAAUAAAAAAUGUAUGAGGCCUUUUUUGCCCCAAUAUCUUCCCAAGCAGAGGAAUGUGAAGGGGGGUUGGGCCAAGAAGUGAGUGGUAGGAAGAGAGGCCUACGGAUUUAAAACAGGCCACUGCUUGGAGGGGUGUCUUUCCUAAACCACUGAAGAAAUUGAACCAGGCAAAGGAAGGGGGUUCACACCCACAAAUAAACUAUAACCUACAAAAGGAGCCCGGGUUCACAUCCACAAAUAAAUUGUAACCUACACAAGGAGUCUGGUUGAGGUCACAAAACAAAAGCCAGGAGGCAACCAAAAGUAGAAUAUGAAAUAGGUGCUGCCUUCUCACCUAGGAAUCCUUCCAGGGCUAAAACCUUCAAAUAUUCUGCUUUUAAGGUAGUCAGAUACCCUCACAACUCAUUUACAUCAGCCCUUCUCUGUUUUCAAGUGAGAAGCAUAGAUGGUUUAGAAUUAAGCUAUGAACUCUUGGAUCUUUUCUUCCAAGUUUAGUGUUAGUGGUAGAUAGGUCUAGUCCAACUAUCUCAAUACAUUGUUUUCUCCCUAGUUAAAACAGAUUUGCAAGAAUCAUUUGUAUGACACUUUAGGAAUACAGAUAAAUUGCUAGUGCAAAUAAUAUCCUUAUAUUUAUAAAAUAUAUGUGUACUUUUAAAAAAGUUAUAUGAAUCCAAUCCUCUGGCCUUUUAGUUAGUAUUGAGUGUGAUAGUUGUGGGAGAUCUGUAGUAAAUACGGUUUCUGAAGGGUGUGCUAUCAUCCCUAAUGAACUCACCUAUUAAUUGUGGUAAAGAGUUUUUCACUUGGGCUGGGCACGGUGGCUCACGCCUGUAAUCCCAGCACUUUGGGAGGCCGAGGCAGGUGGGUCGACUGAGGUCAGGAGUUCCAGACCAGCCUAGCCAACAUGGUGAAACCCCGUCUGUACUAAAAAAAAAAAAAAGAAAAAAAAUAGCUGGGCAUGGUGGCAGGUGCCUGUAAUCCCAGCUACUUGGGAGGCUGAGGCAGGAGAAUCCCUUGAACCUGGGGAGGCGGAGGUUGCAGUGAGCCAAGAUCGUGCCAUUGCACUCCAGCCUGGGCAACAAGAGCAAAACUCCGUCUCAAAAAAAAAAAAAAAAAGAAAAAGAAAAAGAAAUGAAAAAAAAAGUUUCCCAACAUGUAUUAGCCGUUUUCAUGUUGUCUGUAUUCACCUUUGCGUCAUCACCCCUCUUCAAUUUCCUCCUGGAAUUCAAUCACAGUAAUGGGUUAUCUCAGCAUAUAUUAUUCGCCAGUCUCACAUCCUGACCUCAUUUAUUUACCUAAAAAUAACCAGAACGAAAAAAAAAUCACAGAUUAAUUUACACUUGAUUUCACUUUAACUUCAAUUUAAAAUACUUAGAAUCCAGAAUUCCUAGUAAGUUGAACCUGGAAUACGCAGACCUGUGAUAAUAUCUUAAACACUCAAAUGUUUUCAACUUGCUGAAAUGGAGUUCACACUUUUAACAUUCUGGGCUUUUUUUUUAAAAGGGACUAUAAUACUUUAAC